rnacentral:misc_RNA from 1 species
CGGAAGAAUUCCAGAAGAGUACAUGUAUCAUCUUUACAACCACCAUAACUCUUCAAUCUUCAUGGAUUAUUUAUUUCCCACCAUUACAAUACAAUCAACCGAGAUUGGCACUGGCAUCCUAUUCCUAUUUGUCUCGGUUAGACACAAUACAGAGAUGAAUGGUAAAUCAUCUAAGCUAACCUUCAAACCUAAGACAACAUCAUCUGAACUGCCAAAUAAUGUUUAUGAACAGGACAGGGAACCUAAGGCUUAGACAGAUAAGAACUGUACAGAAAAUGGGUAUCAUUGACCAAUAUCAAUCUAAAAAAGAAUUUUAUGCCCUAAGAACAACAGAAUUUAGUCUUCAUCUAAAGAUUAGUACUUCACCAGAAGAAGCUAUCCUCUAAAAACAGAAAACAAGAAGCCUAAAGAAGGAAGGAACUUGCGUAGUAAAUGAAAUAGGUUUCAACUAAGAUUUUUAGUAAAAAAUUCAAAAGCAAAAAGAAUGAGAACUCUAUCAGGAGCUGGAAUCAGCGUGCUGCCCCAAUUAUGUGCUACUAAAUUAGCUUGUAGUAGCAGUCUCUUCCAUAAAGAAGAAUCUGAUAGCCUUUGCUACAGGGACACUUAAAGUGGACAACUAGGCAUUCCCCAGUUCUCUCCGCACAAACAGCUUCUUCAUAUUCUAUCACUGAACCAGUCUUCGUCGCAUUGGCAGUAUUGCCUUGAGUGCAUUUUUCUUCUUCCUCAACGCCUAUCACUCCAUCAGGAAUAAGUUCAUCACACCACUGAUUCAUUUCCUUCAUGCAAUCCCUCAUCUUCCUUAGCCACUUAUAGUGGGGAUUCUCAUAAACAGUCGAAUCAUCGCAAUUAGAUGACCGCGAAAUGCUUUUGUUAGGUGAUGGGUCCGAUACAGUCCUCCUGAGCAUCGGCGGCCGUGGUGGCAGAGAAGCAGUUUCCAUUGAACCGGGCGUCGCCACAUCGGUCUCUGGUGGCGAUUGCGGAAGCAGGCUUGUUGCAGAACCCGUGCCGGACACAGAGAGAGUGUCUGACCCUGCCACCGGAGGGCUGUAAGGAUCGGAAUGGCAGCGGCGCAGGACUGGAAGGGAGUCGGUACGAGUCGGCUUGGCGGGUCCAAAAUUAAACACGGAUGAGGUGCAAGGGAGGGUGAUCUUCGAGAAGUCACGGAUUGAAGUUAUGUUGGUGUUCUCCUGGGGUUCAAGGAAGAGUUUCUUGGGUUUUUUGGGGAUUUGAUCUUGCGGGUCCAACAAAGGAGUAGUGGGUUCAGGAGAACGGCGUUUGUUGGAGGAAGAAGAGACGGUGGGAGGAACAGAAGAACCGGAGCAGCCACAGGCGGUGCAGGGAGUGUUGUAGUUGGUAGCGGGAGCGGAAGUGUUGGUGGUGGUAGCCGAUGAAUUGAAGCUGUCAAGGCGGAGAAGGGUGAAAUCGAUGGAUUCAGGGAGACUUUCCGGGCUGCUUUUGCCGUUAUUGGUGGUGGCGGUUUCCAGCUUUUGAUCGAGUUCACUCAUUUUCUUGAAUUUUUUUUAUUGGUGCUUUCUUU